UUGUUUUUUUUUCUUUUGCACGCUGCAUUUAAUUUACAGAAUGUGUUUGGACGCUGAUCUUAACAGGUCUACUCUGCACGUUACCGAAGAUUUUGUAACCGGAAAAUUUUAUUACCAAAAAAUUUUGCCAGUGCUUGUCAUCGCGAUUCUAGCUACGUUGGUAAUGCAGUUAAAAUAUUCAGAAAUUCAGCAUAUUUUACGGGGAAUUAUUUUGUUACCAGCUUAUGAGAUGGUAAAACAAUUUAUCGGUUACAAGAAUACACAGAAUGCGAAAAGAGUUUAAAAAUUGAUAGGAACUUCAUUUACCGGUUAGAAAAUUUGUAUUACCAGCGCAGAAUAGACCUUGUAUUAUACUCAAAUUUAAU